CUUCCCCACUUCAAGCCCGCAACUUGAUCUGCAUCGUUUCUCUUACAAUUUUAUACUACAGCAAGCAGUUAUUUAAACAAGAGGGUGCGUUCCAGAAUGCUAAGAACCAAAGGAGAAGGGCAUGCUUCUGUCCAUGGCUUUUUACUUUUUAAAACUGAAGGAUCUAAUAUUUCUCCUCUUGUUCUCAGGAAGUGAUAGCAGUAUUAGACAGAAAAGAUGAAUGUAGCGAGAAAGAAUAAACCUUGUGAUCCUUCUGUUUUACGCUCUUGCAUGAUCUUCCCAUGUCUUGGUGACCAAGCUCUUUCUAGCCCGAAUCAGCAUGGAGAACAAGCAGAGGAUGGACUUCUGCAGCAUCUUCUGCAAGAUGUGAGGACUGCAAUAUUCCCAUUCACGCAUGAACCACAGCUGCUCUCCCUAGGUCCCCUGACCUCUGGAGAAGGCUACUAGCAUAGCACUGACCCAACUUCACCAAGACAUCAAACGACAAAAGAAGGAAACAAGACGUGGGUGUCAUUACUGCAAGUCCCAUUGAGGUAAAACUCCAGUGGCACUGCAUCUUUGGUGGCUGUCUGUCUAGUCCACUUUCUGGGCCCUUCCUCUGCUUUACCCCAGGUGCCCAGUGCCUUCAGCUUCCUGCCUUAGGUCAGAGGGAGACAUCUGAUGCCAGACCCAUCCACACAUUUUGAUUACAAUGACGCCUUCCUGGGGUCCUUGCACCCUGAAAAGUGAUCUUGAGAAAGAGCUGUAAUGAAACGGUGGCAAGGAACCCUAUGGAAGAAUUUGAUCUAGCAUGGUAGCCAUGGAAAGAUGGAUAUUUGUGACUACAAACACUAUUAAGAAAUAUUAUGCCAUGGACAGCUUACUCCAAAGAGAGACAGACCGAAGCCAGCUUCCAGUUCUGUG
rnacentral:lncRNA from 10 species